CAGGACUUGACAUCCCUCGCUAUUGUCUGAAAGGAUGAGUUCCCUUCGGGGACGAGGAGACAGGUGGUGCACGGUUGUCGUCAGCUCGUGUCGUGAGAUGUUGGGUUAAGUCCCGCAACGAGCGCAACCCUUGUCCUUAGUUGCCAGCGUAAAGUCGGGCACUCUAGGGAGACUGCCGGUGAUAAACCGGAGGAAGGUGGGGAUGACGUCAAAUCAUCAUGCCCCUUAUGUUCUGGGCUACACACGUGCUACAAUGGCUGGUACAAAGAGACGCAAGACGGUGACGUGGAGCAAAUCUCAAAAACCAGUCCCAGUUCGGAUUGUAGGCUGAAACUCGCCUACAUGAAGUUGGAGUUGCUAGUAAUCGCAGAUCAGAAUGCUGCGGUGAAUGCGUUCCC
rnacentral:rRNA from 1 species